rnacentral:lncRNA from 10 species
GGCUGCGUGGCCCUGGCCCACUUGCUGUACUCUCCUUGUGGUGUGGCCAGAACUGUGGCUCUCCUUUCACCUCACGCCCUCAGAUCAAUGGCUGUCGGUGGCCAUUCAUUCAGAACUCCCUCAAUAAGAGUAUUUUGUGGCAAAAAGCCAGCAGAGCCAGCUGCUUGGACCCAGGGGUCCUUGGUUGUUCCCAGGGCCCAGGUCAUGCCCUGUAAGAGUGGAGCUUAUGAAGUUACCCACACACCUAUCUCCAGAGACUCUCAUUUCCAACCUGCUCGGGACCCAAGAAGGCUCAGUUGUUCAGAUCUAAAAACGCAUUACAUAAUUUUCCUCGCCAUUCAUUCUUCUAUAUGAUAGCAGGGAGAAAAUCCG